UACGUAGGUGGCUAGCGUUGUCCGGAUUUACUGGGCGUAAAGAGCGCGCAGGCGGUCGUUCAAGUCGAGUGUGAAAGCCCUCGGCUCAACUGAGGAAGUGCACCCGAAACUGGCGAGCUUGAGUACGAAAGAGGAUCGCGGAAUUCCCGGUGUAGAGGUGAAAUUCGUAGAUAUCGGGAGGAACACCGGUGGCGAAGGCGGCCUGCUGGGACAAUGCUGACGCUGAGGCGCGACAGCGGUGGGGGAGCAAACAGG
rnacentral:rRNA from 1 species